rnacentral:rRNA from 1 species
GACGAACGCUGGCGGCGUGCUUAACACACGCAAGUCGAACGAUGAAGCCGGAGCUUGCUCUGGUGAAUUAGUGGCGAACGGGUGAGUAACACGUGAGUAACCUGCCCUUGACUCUGGGAUAACUGCGGGAAACUGUAGCUAAUACCGGAUACGACCCUCGGAGGCAUCUCCUGGGGGUGGAAAUAAUUUCGGCCAAGGAUGGACUCGCGGCCUACCAGCUAGUUGGUGAGGUAAAGGCUCACCAAGGCGACGACGGGUAGCCGGCCUGAGAGGGUGACCGGCCACACUGGGACUGAGACACGGCCCAGACUCCUACGGGAGGCAGCAGUGGGGAAUAUUGCACAAUGGGCGCAAGCCUGAUGCAGCAACGCCGCGUGAGGGAUGACGGCCUUCGGGUUGUAAACCUCUUUUAGCAGGGAAGAAGCGAAAGUGACGGUACCUGCAGAAAAAGCACCGGCUAACUACGUGCCAGCCGCCGCAGUAA